GAGUUUACGAUCCCCCAUGCUUUUUUCAAAGUUGCUGAGGGGCGGGAAUCUUCGUUGCGGGAAGAAGAAAAGGCAAAUCCGGCCUGGAAGCGGGGGGCCCUGAGCUGAGAGCCAGAGAAGGGCCAUUUCCCUUCCCCUGGACCUCGGAAUCGCCCAGCUAUCUAUCCCUGGCUCCUGGAGAAACUUGAGGGAGGGCCCUUGACCCCCGAAUCGGUUUUUCCUGCCUUCCCCAUUGGACCAAUGAUGCCCUUCUUUCUCCCCUUAUCGAGACUUGGGCAAUCAGGGCCCUGGGGUGAGACAGCCAAGCUGCCUGGCCCAUCUUCCAAGCAAUUCCAAAGGUGAAAACGCAGCCAACUGGCUCACGGCAAAGAGUGGUCGGAAGAAGCGCUGCCCCUACACGAAGCACCAGACACUGGAGCUGGAGAAGGAGUUUCUGUUCAACAUGUACCUUACUCGAGAGCGGCGCCUAGAGAUUAGCCGCAGCGUCCACCUCACGGACAGACAAGUGAAAAUCUGGUUUCAGAACCGCAGGAUGAAACUGAAGAAAAUGAAUCGAGAAAACCGGAUCCGGGAGCUCACAGCCAACUUUAAUUUUUCCUGAUGAAUCUCCAGGCGACGCGGUUUUUUCACUUCCCGAGCGCUGGUCCCCUCCCUCUGUCUUCAGCCUCUGCCCAGGAACUCGCACCUGUGCUGGAGCCCUGUUCCUCCCUCCCACACUCGCCA
rnacentral:sRNA from 1 species